AUUGAACGCUGGCGGCAUGCUUUACACAUGCAAGUCGAACGGUAACAGGCCUUCGGGUGCUGACGAGUGGCGAACGGGUGCGUAAUGCAUCGGAACGUACCCAGAGGUGGGGGAUAACGCAGCGAAAGCUGUGCUAAUACCGCAUGUGAUCUGAGGAUGAAAGCGGGGGACCGAGCAGCAAUGUUUGGCCUCGCGCCUUUGGAGCGGCCGAUGUCGGAUUAGCUAGUUGGUGGGGUAAAGGCCUACCAAGGCGAGGAUCCGUAGCUGGUCUGAGAGGACGACCAGCCACACUGGGACUGAGACACGGCCCAGACUCCUACGGGAGGCAGCAGUGGGGAAUUUUGGACAAUGGGCGCAAGCCUGAUCCAGCAAUGCCGCGUGAGGGAAGAAGGCCUUCGGGUUGUAAACCGCUUUUGGCAGGAACGAAACGGUGUCCGCUAAUACCGGGCGCUAAUGACGGUACCUGCAGAAUAAGCACCGGCUAACUACGUG
rnacentral:rRNA from 1 species